rnacentral:rRNA from 1 species
UACGUAGGGUGCAAGCGUUGUCCGGAUUUAUUGGGCGUAAAGAGCUCGUAGGCGGUCUGUCGCGUCUGCUGUGAAAACUCAGGGCUUAACCCUGAGCUUGCAGUGGGUACGGGCAGACUAGAGUGCGGUAGGGGAGACUGGAAUUCCUGGUGUAGCGGUGAAAUGCGCAGAUAUCAGGAGGAACACCGGUGGCGAAGGCGGGUCUCUGGGCCGUAACUGACGCUGGAGGAGCGAAAGCAUGGGGAGCGAACAGG